UACGUAGGGUGCAAGCGUUACUCGGAAUUACUGGGCGUAAAGCGUGCGUAGGUGGUGAGUUAAGUCUGUCGUGAAAGCCCCGGGCUCAACCUGGGAAUGGCGAUGGAUACUGGCUCGCUAGAGUGCGGUAGAGGAGAGUGGAAUUCCCGGUGUAGCAGUGAAAUGCGUAGAGAUCGGGAGGAACAUCAGUUGCGAAGGCGGCUUCUCUGGACCAGCACUGACACUGAGGCACGAAAGCGUGGGGAGCAAACAGG
rnacentral:rRNA from 1 species